GUGUCAGCCGCCGCGGUAAUACGAAGGGUGCAAGCGUUACUCGGAAUUACUGGGCGUAAAGCGUGCGUAGGUGGUUCGUUAAGUCUGAUGUGAAAGCCCCGGGCUCAACCUGGGAAUUGCAUUGGAUACUGGCGGGCUAGAGUACGGUAGAGGGUGGCGGAAUUCCUGGUGUAGCAGUGAAAUGCGUAGAGAUCAGGAGGAACAUCCGUGGCGAAGGCGGCCACCUGGACCAGUACUGACACUGAGGCACGACAGCGUGGGGAGCAAACAGGAUUAGAUACCCUGGUAGUCCACGCCCUAAACGAUGCGAACUGGAUGUUGGGGGCAAUCAGGCCUUCAGUAUCGAAGCUAACGCGUUAAGUUCGCCGCCUGGGGAGUACGGUCGCAAGACUGAA
rnacentral:rRNA from 1 species